AUUGAACGCUGGCGGCAGGCCUAACACAUGCAAGUCGAGCGGAUGAGAGGAGCUUGCUUCUCGAUUCAGCGGCGGACGGGUGAGUAAUGCCUAGGAAUCUGCCUGAUAGUGGGGGACAACGUUUCGAAAGGAACGCUAAUACCGCAUACGUCCUACGGGAGAAAGCAGGGGACCUUCGGGCCUUGCGCUAUCAGAUGAGCCUAGGUCGGAUUAGCUAGUUGGUGAGGUAAUGGCUCACCAAGGCGACGAUCCGUAACUGGUCUGAGAGGAUGAUCAGUCACACUGGAACUGAGACACGGUCCAGACUCCUACGGGAGGCAGCAGUGGGGAAUAUUGGACAAUGGGCGAAAGCCUGAUCCAGCCAUGCCGCGUAUGUGAAGAAGGUCUUCGGAUUGUAAAGCACUUUAAGUUGGGAGGAAGGGUUGUAGAUUAAUACUCUGCAAUUUUGACGUUACCGACAGAAUAAGCACCGGCCAACUCUGUGCCAGCAGCCGCAGUAACAC
rnacentral:rRNA from 1 species